UUUGAUAACAUGGUGACGUCGAUGAUGAU
rnacentral:piRNA from 1 species